rnacentral:lncRNA from 1 species
UCUGAACAUUUCAGAAUGUUUAGGACAGUGAGCUACUGGUUUGGAAAGCUGCAAGCAUGAUCCUAUCCAGGAGGACAUGGGCUCAUGACUGUCACGGGUGUGUACAGCCUACAGCAUGCAGCUUGUCUCUGCAGCACGGGGCUGCACCUUUCUUCCAGAGGGACAUCACUACCAAACAAAACCUAGGUAUUUUGCUUAAAAGCAAUUGUUGUCUAAUAAUGGGCAUGAAGGUCUGAGUGACAAGAAAAGGUUUUUAAACAGGUAAAAAUGUGAAAGCCUUUUAUAAAAUGUUUUAUUACACUAUUGUUACAUGAGAAUGAACCAAAAAAUUAAAUUGUAGGCAAUUAAAAACCCCCACAAGUCAUGGUGAAGCAGGAAGAUUUGCUGAGGGCUCCUUUAUUCCCAGUGAGUUUGGCAUCCUGAGGCCUGUGGUGAUAGUAACAGAGAGUCUAAAAUGGUAAGAUUGAGCACACGCUAUAAAAUGAGGAGGGUUUUAUAGUGGCUGCAUUUUAUUUGCGUGUAAAGCCUCUAUCCUUUCUGCCUCUAAAGAACACUUGUUGCCAAGUUAGAGCAUCCAGACAUAACGCAAGGUAAACCCUGAGGAAAUCAUGCAAAAUGCUGCUGGGUGGGUUUUGAAAGCCCACGGAUUCUUUUCUCACUUAAUGCAACUAGGGCUUUGCUUUCCCUGAGCAAGACAAGUGUCAGUGGUUUCCUCCCUAAGAUCUGCAGGAGGAGGCUGUUUUUAGCUGAGAGCUGCUGCUUUGCCUAUCACUGAAGUGUGGUUGUAGGAUGCCUGGGAGAGAAGGCAGCUGGAGAGAAGGAAGGCAGAAGGGGAACGCUGGGAGGGAGAGCUCGGGGCUAACAAGGCAGUGCGCUGGGGAUGUACUCACCCAGCAAGGGCAACUUGGAGCCAGGCGGAUCAGGGUGUGUGUGUGGGGCGGCUUUUUGGCAAUCCCUCGCCUUUUAGGUUCUCUCACUUGUUUGAUAUUCUAGGGAGUUCUGACUUAUUUGUACCAUUCCAAUGAUACUGCGAGGUUAAAAAUAUGUUUCCGUGUACAUAGCAAUUAACACAGGCUCUGUGGAGUGGAAUAUUCCAGGAUUUAGGAGACUGCUAGACUUUUUAUUGUCUCUAGCCAGCAGAUGGCGGUAGUGUACCACAGAAGAGCACAGGGCGAGCGCUUGGUGAAACCCGGAGGUUCAGUUUUGUUUUGCUUUGUUUUUUAAGCUUGACAAUACCCAUCUAUAUAUCCUGUGGGCGCACAGUGUUUGAGCCUAGUCUAAUCUUAAACUUGUUUUAUGAUGAUAUCAUUAUUUUUUACUGCUACAAAUUAACUGUCGGUUUCAAUCUACCCCAUAUUUCAGCUGCCUUGGGGGAUCAUCUUGUCAGUUGUGCGGCUUUCCAAUUUUAUGACUGAGAUCAAGACUGAUUCCUUAAAGGCACAUGGGAAACAAUGAAAUGUGGGGCGGUGACAGUGAGCUCCGUUCGGUGGCCACUCCUGGAGGUGAUCAGGAAUGCGAGGGAAGGGCAAGCCACUAAGUCCAUGGUUCUUUUGAAAAGUGACUGCCUUGACAUUUACUCAGGUUCAGUCACUCAUUUAGGUAUGAUCCUCACCAUCAAUGGAGUGGAGUGGGGCUUCAUGAAUCCUAAUAUUAUCCUACAGAGUUAUGUUCAAACACAGGAGAAAGUAAAGAGAGUUUCCAGGGCACAGACAUCCUUGUUGAUUCACAGGAAAUUCUUUCUUCUUUAGCAGGGACCUAAGGCGCCUGCAAACAAUCAGUGUUUACUCUCCCUAGAGUCUGGGGCCUUCUGGAUACCUACUGGGUGCUUGCCCUUGUGUGAAAAGUCCUUGUGAACUUACAGGCCAGAAGCUCCCGACUGCUGCCUAAUCUUUUCCUGAAGCGUAAGGGCAAAAGAGAUUAGGAUCUUCUUGAUAGAGUUGGCAGAGCACCAUUGAUUGAUGAUAAACUUGAAGGAGAAAGGGGUCAUAUUGCAGCUUGCCCCAGUCAAAGAUUUCCGUCAGCCGCAUAGGGUUGUAAAUCCGUUGCCAGCCAGAACACUGUCCAUGGACCGGCUGAGAGGCAGGGACAAUUGAAGCCCAGAGGCGGUGAAAGGGCCAGGCUGCUCCUGAAAUGCCGGGUGGACAGAAGUGUGGGUUCAGGCUUCUCUAAAAUCAUCUGUUGUCUGCAGAACGGCUGCUCUGGCUUCUUGAGCAAUCUGUGACCCGGGGCUCCUCUCAUCUCUUCCCCUCCCCACCUUCUGCACUUACUUAUAUAAUUGCUAGUUCUGCUUCUCUAACAUAGAAUUACUUGCAGAAUUUUCUUUUAAAUAGAAUGUCGGAACCCCAGCUUCUAGAAUGAGUUGGUUUUUUUAUUAGAAUAAAUAAAAGUGGCUACUCUAGAGCAGGUCCGACACGAGCAAGGUUCUUUCCAGGUUUUAUUUUAUCGUGCAUGUGAGCGUGAGUGCAUCAGAUGUCUUUGUCAAUCACUUCUCCACCUUAGUUUCUGAGACAUUAUCUCUCACUGAUGCUAGAACUCCAUCUUUAAGCUAAACUAGCUGGCCAGAAAGCCCCAGGACUCCUCCUGCCUCUGCCUCCUCCCAGGUGCUGGCCCUGACUCUCAGGUGCUGGCCCUGAUGCCUCCCAGGUGUUGUCUCUGCCUCCCUGGUGCUGAGAUUCUGGUGGGUACUGCUGCUGGGCCCAGCUGUUUCACAAAUGCUGGGGAAUCUGAACUCAGGCCCUUACAUUUGCAUGGCAAGCAUAUACUUUCCAGUCUAAACCAGCCCCCAAUUUUAAUUUUAUUAUACUCUUUUUCGAACUGAAUAUUGUUGUUUGUACUCUUUUUCUGUAUGAUACCUGCAGUUCAGAGGUUGAUGCAUUUUCCUACUGAAGGACAAAUUGAAAAUGAAAGCAGUGUCUGUCCGUGUUCCUCCCACAACGUGGUACUCCUUCUCUUUUAAAACAUUGCUGCUGUAACACCGUUUCAUGGUCCUGGACAGGUGGAACAGACAGAGAAAGGUAGAAAGUCCAAGAGAGACUGACACCUGCAAAUGUAUCAGGUAGAAGAGUCAAUACACAGAGGCUUCAAGGUUUCCAAUGGCUGGAUCUGCAGAGGUUUUGGAUAUUGGGAAACACAAUCAGGAGACUCUCCCUGGGGAUUUAGCCCACAGAGAGGGGCUGGCUUAUAUUGAGCCAGCGCUUCAGAGCUCCAUUGAUUGUGGAGUUAAAGGCAUAGAGGAAAAGCACAUUCUGAACUGCUAUGCCGGGGAAGUAUUUGCCUGGAUGCAGGGUAUAAAGGAAGGAUGCUAAUGCACUGGUCCUUUUGGCUCUUAGGCAAGGAUAACAACAGGGCUGGCAGCAGCAUCAUAUGACACAGACAGCCACAGGUAUUUAUGUAGAAGAAAAAGCUCACACAGUGAGAGCAGUGCCCAGAAACAUGUUGAAUGCUGAGCACGGUGCAAAUGGGCCCACUAUUGAUCUUUAGUGGAAAUGUUCAUGUCUGCCUCAUGAACAAAUAUUUCUCUGGAGACCUCCUCUAAAGAAAUAUUUAGUCUAACCUCUCCUCUCCUCUUUACAUUUUAGGGCUUCUCACUGGGCAGUAGGCUAGGGAACAAUCCCAGAAGACUUUAGGAGAAGACUUUGAGACAAUGUGGGCCAAUCCCCUAAGCUGUGAUACUGCGUCUCCACACACAUCCCAGGGUGGGAACUUCUUUUCUUGUCCAUGUAGAGGCUUGAAAUUAUUGAUUUAAAGCUUAUUCACUAGACUAUGCUGCAUUUUUUCCUCUGAGUUCUCAGGGUUAUGAAGAUAAUUGCCAUGCAAAUAGCCCUAAGAGACACAGCUAAUCCUUGCCCUUCCUCAGAGCUACAAGUGGUUGCAAGCAUGAAAAGUUUCUCUUUAACAAAGGGCAUCGUGACCCUGUGCUAAAUCUGUAUUGGUUUCUGUCUCCAACUCUGAGUUCUGAAAGCUCAAUUUAGCAUCCAAAAAAAAAAAAAAAAAAAAUCGAGCCAUGUUCUUUUCCUUCUGUACCUCAUUAUCAGCAAUGAAGAGUCGAAGAACAAGUGUUGGCUGGCAAUUUCACCAUGAUGCAUGACAGAGCAGAACACAGACUUGCUUUUUGUCAUCUAUAAGGUCUCCAAGUGAUUGACAAAAGCAGAUAUUUUUCAGCUGAAAUACAGAAGGGAGAGAAAGUUGGCGUGUUUAGUGAAGCAGAUUUACUCAUCAGACAUCGGGGGUGCUGCAGGUAACUCAUACAAAUAAAUGACAAAGGAUGACUAAGGAACAUAUAUGUAAUCAUGCAGUUGGCUUCUGCUCCCUUGUCCCACAAAGUACACAACACAAACGACAAUCUUUUGAUGCAGGAAGAGGGAGAGGGACUGUUCUGAGAAGAUCCUGAAGAAGCACUUUCGUACUUUAUGUUCCCUAGGAAGGUUUCUGUGCUCUUUAGGCAAAUCUGAUCCUCUUGCUAGCAUUCUAUUCUGGUGUUUAUGGCCUUCAGGAAAGCAAGAAGAACCCCAGAGCCUUCAUCUCUAGAGAUCAGCAGUCAGAAACUGAUGGCCUGUGCCUGGACCACAUCCAGCCAACAAAUAUUGAUAUUUGGCUUAUACAGUGUACAACUGCUUAAAAAUGUUUUGAACUACUUGCUAAAAAUUAAAAGCCAGGAGAUUUUCACAUUACAAAGAAAUCUGAAUUUUGGCUCUUUCACUGAAAAGUCUAAAUUUUGGCACCACUGGCCCGGUUUUCCACGUGGCAACUGGAGUUGUGUAGCCUUUGUGGCUUCUAGAACACACAUUCCCUUUGUGGGAGUUAGAAAAAGGCAUGCCUUCAGGCAUAUGAGUUGUAAGCUUGCCUCAUCAGAAAGCCCACAUGUAAUAGCUUUGCCACAACUGCCACCACCUGCUUAAGCUGUUUCACUUCUGUCUGAGCCCUUCAGACAUUUAAGUUUGUGACCACAGUCAACGCCUUUGGAGGGAGUUGCUGCCUGCAGCACACACCUUGAUGAAUAAGUGCCGGCCUAGGGGCCUUUCUUUAAUUUCUUGCCCAUAGAGAUGAGGGUUCAAGCAUUCUUUUUUCCUGAUAAGAAAGCGUCACAGUAGUGUAGAAAUUACAUCCACUGGAAGGGCUGCAUACCAUCCGGGUCCACCAACUUCCAAACUCUUCCUUCCUACCCUGUGCUAAUCUUGCUCUUAUUGUCAGCCUAUGAGAGAAGGUAUCUGAGGAGAUCAUAGCAAUUUCUCAAGAAUGAUGGAGGAAUUUGAAUCCCAUAACACAGAGAGCUUGAGGCAGACCUCAUGAGCCAUCUUUGAAUGAGCAACUUGCAGGAUCUAUCUCUGUCAACAGCUUGUUCUUAUUAAACAAAGUGAGUCCUGCAGCCCCUGAUAAUGGAUGACACCAAGGACCUAAAGAGCCCCUCUGUGGUCUUAACAAGUCUGAGAAUAGUUUUCCAGAAUCCAUCAGCUGUGCGUGUGUUUUUAAAGCACUGAAAUGACAGUCAUGAGGAUCGUUUAUGAAGUGCAGCUGUCUGUGAUGCUGCAGGAAUGAUAAAAUGAAGUGAUUGGUACAUUAUCGAGAGCUUAUAAAACAAUUUACAGCAAGCACGGUUAUGCCAUAGUUAGUGGUCUGUCUAGCAGAAUGGAUUUCAGUUUGGGAUUGAGCACUGGAACUAUUUACUAGUUAACUUGGACAAGUCACAUGACUGAAGCUUUCAAACCAAAAGCAGUUAGUCCCUGCAUCCAUAGUUCUGCAUCUGUGGGUUCAACCACAGAUCAAAAAUAACCAGAAAAAGACAACCACUUAAGUAUUGACUUGUACUGAUCCAGACCCCUGAACAUGGAUGUCAAUAAGGAGGCCUCUGCACUCCAGGGAGCCUCUGGUGGUGGAUAAGUAUUUUUCCCGGGUGCAAGAAGGGACUUUGAGAGCCCAUCCCAUAUGAAGGGUUACACUCUGGCCCUGGACACAUGGGGAAGGGCCCAGGACCAGCAUAGGAAGACUUGGUGGACUUUGCAGAGCCCCAGUUGAGGGCCCUACCCUGCCUGGGGAGUGGUGGGUG